AUCGAACGCUGGCGGCAGGCCUAACACAUGCAAGUCGAGCGGAUGAAGGGAGCUUGCUCCUGGAUCCAGCGGCGGAAGGGUGAGUAAUGCCUAGGAAUCUGCCUGGUAGUGGGGGAUAACGUCUGGAAAAGGGCGCUAAUAACGCAUACGUCCUGAGGGAGAAAGUGGGGGAUGUUCGGACAUCACGCUAUCAGAUGAGCCUAGGUCGGAUUAGCUAGUUGGUGGGGUAAAGGCCUACCAAGGCGACGAUCGGUAACUGGACUGAUAGGAUGAUCAGUCACCCUGGAGCUUGACCGCGGUCCAUGCUCCUGCGAGAGGCAGCAGUGUCGAAUGUUGGGCAGUGGUCGGAAGCCUGAUCCAGCCGUGGCGCGUCUGUGGAGAAGGUCUUCGGUUUGUGAAGCACUUUAACUUGUGGGAAAGCGCUGUAGGUUGAUACCUUGCUGUUUUGACGGUACCGGCUGAAUAAGCACCGGCUAACUUCGUG
rnacentral:rRNA from 1 species